rnacentral:lncRNA from 1 species
GUAAAAUACCUUAUUUCCAAAAUUCUUUUUAUAUGAUCAUUUAUGGUUUCAUGUCUAUGUCUUUGAGGAAAGCAGGACAACUUAUGUUACAAUGGAAGAAAUAAGUUCCAAGAGGCUAAGUAAUUUGCCCAAGGCAACACAGCUUAUGACCUAGACCAAAUCACCUGCCUGACCUCCCUGUAUGUUAAGUUGUAUGUGAAUGAGUACCCUCCCAGAACACAGAAUUUUAUAAAAAACCUGCUUUCCUUGUACAGGUGUGUGGCAACAGUAAAGCUUUCUACAUGUUAAACAGAAUGAACAAAACCAACGCAGAGCAGUGACUUCCUGUCAGAGCAGAAGGAGACCCUUAUAGAACAGCUGUGCCACUGCUCCAAAGGCCUCGUGUGGUUCUAUCCCUUGGACUGCCUUUCUUCAACAGCCCAGACACCUGCUCUGUCAGAUUUAUAAGCCACACCCCCUAGAGCCAUGCCAAUCAAAGCAUGGCCCGCAGACCUGUGCCAGUCUCCGAACCUCUUUGUUACCGAUUUGGAGCAAGAUGGGGACAGAAAUUGAGAGCCAGAGUUUAGAA